AGCUUUGAUCAGAGACAUCAGCUGGUAUUUUUUUUUUCCCUUGAAAGUUUUGUAGAUAAAUAAUUUGUCUAUUUAAUUUAAAGAAACUUUCUAAUGCUAUUUAGUUGAAUAACAUAAAAUUGGACAAUUGCAAUUUGGUCAUUAUCAAAAUUGAUGUUAUAUUGGACCAUAGAUUUUUUUAGUAUUCUCACUUAAACUUGCAAUUGGAUUCAGUGCUCCGGUCAUUUUCUGGGACUGCUACAGGCAAAUCAAUGGUCUUAUGGAGUUCUUUUUUUUUUUAAAUGCUCUCAACUUUCAUGAGCUGAACUUGCUGGCUUUGUAGUUUCUACUAAGUUGUUUGAGAUUCUUUGAGGAUAUACUUAAGCAAUUUAUCUGAAGCUCUAUGUUUUGAUUUCUGAAAUUAAAGGAUGACCAAUUUUUUACAUUCCUUUUGAUUUCAUCAUAUCUGCUUGUCAUCAUUGCUGGCUGGUUUACUUUGACUUGAGUUGCUUUCUUUCUUGCAGCCGCCAAGCUCUUGGUUUGCCAU
rnacentral:misc_RNA from 1 species